rnacentral:rRNA from 1 species
UACGUAGGGUGCGAGCGUUAAUCGGAAUUACUGGGCGUAAAGCGUGCGCAGGCGGUUUGUUAAGACAGAUGUGAAAUCCCCGGGCUUAACCUGGGAACUGCAUUUGUGACUGGCAAGCUAGAGUAUGGCAGAGGGGGGGGUAGAAUUCCACGUGUAGCAGUGAAAUGCGUAGAGAUGUGGAGGAAUACCGAUGGCGAAGGCAGCCCCCUGGGCCAAUACUGACGCUCAUGCACGAAAGCGUGGGGAGCAAACGAGGAUUAC